UUAAGCGACUAAGCGUACACGGUGGAUGCCCUGGCAGUCAGAGGCGAUGAAGGACGUGCUAAUCUGCGAUAAGCGUCGGUGAGGUGAUAUGAACCGUUAUAACCGGCGAUUUCCGAAUGGGGAAACCCAGUGUGUUUCGACACACUAUCAUUAACUGAAUCCAUAGGUUAAUGAGGCGAACCGGGGGAACUGAAACAUCUAAGUACCCCGAGGAAAAGAAAUCAACCGAGAUUCCCCCAGUAGCGGCGAGCGAACGGGGAGGAGCCCAGAGCCUGAAUCAGUGUGUGUGUUAGUGGAAGCGUCUGGAAAGGCGCGCGAUACAGGGUGACAGCCCCGUACACAAAAAUGCACAUAUUGUGAGCUCGAUGAGUAGGGCGGGACACGUGGUAUCCUGUCUGAAUAUGGGGGGACCAUCCUCCAAGGCUAAAUACUCCUGACUGACCGAUAGUGAACCAGUACCGUGAGGGAAAGGCGAAAAGAACCCCGGCGAGGGGAGUGAAAAAGAACCUGAAACCGUGUACGUACAAGCAGUGGGAGCCUCUUUAUGGGGUGACUGCGUACCUUUUGUAUAAUGGGUCAGCGACUUAUAUUCUGUAGCAAGGUUAACCGAAUAGGGGAGCCGAAGGGAAACCGAGUCUUAACUGGGCGUUAAGUUGCAGGGUAUAGACCCGAAACCCGGUGAUCUAGCCAUGGGCAGGUUGAAGGUUGGGUAACACUAACUGGAGGACCGAACCGACUAAUGUUGAAAAAUUAGCGGAUGACUUGUGGCUGGGGGUGAAAGGCCAAUCAAACCGGGAGAUAGCUGGUUCUCCCCGAAAGCUAUUUAGGUAGCGCCUCGUGAAUUCAUCUCCGGGGGUAGAGCACUGUUUCGGCAAGGGGGUCAUCCCGACUUACCAACCCGAUGCAAACUGCGAAUACCGGAGAAUGUUAUCACGGGAGACACACGGCGGGUGCUAACGUCCGUCGUGAAGAGGGAAACAACCCAGACCGCCAGCUAAGGUCCCAAAGUCAUGGUUAAGUGGGAAACGAUGUGGGAAGGCCCAGACAGCCAGGAUGUUGGCUUAGAAGCAGCCAUCAUUUAAAGAAAGCGUAAUAGCUCACUGGUCGAGUCGGCCUGCGCGGAAGAUGUAACGGGGCUAAACCAUGCACCGAAGCUGCGGCAGCGACACUAUGUGUUGUUGGGUAGGGGAGCGUUCUGUAAGCCUGUGAAGGUGGCCUGUGAGGGUUGCUGGAGGUAUCAGAAGUGCGAAUGCUGACAUAAGUAACGAUAAAGCGGGUGAAAAGCCCGCUCGCCGGAAGACCAAGGGUUCCUGUCCAACGUUAAUCGGGGCAGGGUGAGUCGACCCCUAAGGCGAGGCCGAAAGGCGUAGUCGAUGGGAAACAGGUUAAUAUUCCUGUACUUGGUGUUACUGCGAAGGGGGGACGGAGAAGGCUAUGUUGGCCGGGCGACGGUUGUCCCGGUUUAAGCGUGUAGGCUGGUUUUCCAGGCAAAUCCGGAAAACCAAGGCUGAGGCGUGAUGACGAGGCACUACGGUGCUGAAGCGACAAAUGCCCUGCUUCCAGGAAAAGCCUCUAAGCAUCAGGUAACAUCAAAUCGUACCCCAAACCGACACAGGUGGUCAGGUAGAGAAUACCAAGGCGCUUGAGAGAACUCGGGUGAAGGAACUAGGCAAAAUGGUGCCGUAACUUCGGGAGAAGGCACGCUGAUAUGUAGGUGAAGCGACUUGCUCGUGGAGCUGAAAUCAGUCGAAGAUACCAGCUGGCUGCAACUGUUUAUUAAAAACACAGCACUGUGCAAACACGAAAGUGGACGUAUACGGUGUGACGCCUGCCCGGUGCCGGAAGGUUAAUUGAUGGGGUUAGCGGUAACGCGAAGCUCUUGAUCGAAGCCCCGGUAAACGGCGGCCGUAACUAUAACGGUCCUAAGGUAGCGAAAUUCCUUGUCGGGUAAGUUCCGACCUGCACGAAUGGCGUAAUGAUGGCCAGGCUGUCUCCACCCGAGACUCAGUGAAAUUGAACUCGCUGUGAAGAUGCAGUGUACCCGCGGCAAGACGGAAAGACCCCGUGAACCUUUACUAUAGCUUGACACU
rnacentral:rRNA from 2 species